GAUGAACGCUGGCGGCGUGCCUAAUACAUGCAAGUCGAGCGAACAGAUAAGGAGCUUGCUCCUUUGACGUUAGCGGCGGACGGGUGAGUAACACGUGGGUAACCUACCUAUAAGACUGGGAUAACUUCGGGAAACCGGAGCUAAUACCGGAUAACAUUUGGAACCGCAUGGUUCUAAAGUGAAAGAUGGUUUUGCUAUCACUUAUAGAUGGACCCGCGCCGUAUUAGCUAGUUGGUAAGGUAACGGCUUACCAAGGCAACGAUACGUAGCCGACCUGAGAGAGUGAUCGGCCACACUGGAACUGAGACACGGUCAAGACUCCUACGGGAGGCAGCAGUAGGGAAUCUUCCGCAAUGGGCGAAAGCCUGACGGAGCAACGCCGCGUGAGUGAUGAAGGGUUUCGGAUCGUAAAACUCUGUUAUUAGGGAAGAACAAAUGUGUAAGUAACUGUGCACGUCUUGACGGUACCUAAUCGGAAAGCCACGGCUAACUACGUG
rnacentral:rRNA from 1 species